CGAAGAGACGCGGUGCGCACGCGCGUGAGGGAUGUCGCGGUCUCGUGGUGGAACAUCUGACCCUUUUCAAGAGGAAGGAUGAAAACUCUACAUAGGAACACGAUGUGAAUGGAAGAAACCUGUCAUUGAUCUCUAUGAAGCACCAGAAUUAUCAGUGAAGAAUAUAUUAAAUGGCUCACGGGCUACUGUAAAGCAUAUUUCUAUCGCUUGAGAGUAAAACUGCUAGAACCAGUUCCUGUUUCUACAACAAGGUGUUCCUUUAGAGUCAAUGAGAACACACAAAACCUACAAAUUCAUGCAGGGGACAUCCUGAAGUUCUUGAAAAAGAAGAAACCUGAAGAUGCCUUCUGUGUUGUGGGAAUAACAAUGAUUGAUCUUUACCCAAGAGACUUGUGGAAUUUUGUCUUUGGACAGGCCUCUUUGACAGAUGGCACUGGUGAGGUGGAUUGAUGAUGAAUCUUCUGGCACACCUGGAGCAACUCCAGAACACAGUCGUGAGGAUAAUGGGAAUUUACUGAAACCCGUGGAAGGAAGCCUUUAAGGAAUGGAAAGAGUGGAUAAUAAAAUGCCUGACUGUUCUCCAAAAAUAAGGACCUUCAAAUAGGAGUGAUUGAAAUAAAUGACUACUUGCAUGUUAUGCUUUCAUUUGGGUGGAAUACUUCAUCAGAAUAAACUAUUGAUCUUGUGCUGUGUCAAAGUAACAGACUAGAACCUUCUUUCAAGUACCUGAAUUGAAAUGAAACUCAUUUUGAAUAAUAAAAACUCUAGAAACUCUUUAUCUUCUCAUCUUACUGGCCUGGUCUGUGGCAGCAAGCACAUUAUUUCCAUUCCCCAAAUAUGUUUAGGUCUCCCAAGAAAGCUGGGACUGGCGGUAAUGAGCAAGUAAAUAACUUGAAAAAGAACUGUAGAUGCCCCAAGGAACCAACCAACAUAAUUUCCAGGGGGUGAUUUUGUUUUUAGAAGAGCUGCUCCCCUCUGUUAGGGCCAGCCAAGUCACAUUUUUGGACGUCCGUGGACUCUGAUCACCACAGCCCUCCUCUUCC
rnacentral:lncRNA from 1 species